rnacentral:rRNA from 1 species
AUUGAACGCUGGCGGCAGGCCUAACACAUGCAAGUCGAGCGGAGCGGCGGACGGGAGAGUAAUGACUAGGAAUCUGACUGGUAGUGGGGGAUAACGUCCGGAAACGGGCGCUAAUACCACAUACUAGCAGAUCAGCCUAGAUGGGAUUAGCUAGUUGGUGGGGUAAAGGCCUAACAAGGCGACGAUCCGUAACUGGUCUGAGAGGAUGAUCAGUCACACUGGAACUGAGACACGGCCCAGACUCCUACGGAAGCAAGCAGUGGGGAAUAUUUGACAAUGGGCGAAAGCCUGAUCAAGCCAUGCCGCGUGUGUGAAGAAGGUCUUCGGAUGGUAAAGCACUUUAAGUUGGGAGGCGUUACCAACAGAAUAAGCACCGGCUAACUUCGUGCCAGCAGCCGCGGUAAUUC